rnacentral:rRNA from 1 species
UCCGGGGGGCGCAAUCGUUGUUCGUAAUCACUGGGCGUAAAGCGCGUGUAGGCGGCUUGGCAAGUCGGGUGUGAAAUCCCGAGGCUCAACCUCGGAACUGCGCUCGAAACUGCCUCGCUCGAGUCCCGGAGAUGGUGGCGGAAUUCCCGGUGUAGGGGUGAAAUCCGUAGAUAUCGGGAGGAACACCAGUGGCGAAGGCGGCCACCUGGACGGUGACUGACGCUGAGACGCGAAAGCGUGGGGAGCAAACAGG